AUCGGAAUUACUGGGCGUAAAGCGCACGCAGGCGGUCUGUCAAGUCGGAUGUGAAAUCCCCGGGCUCAACCUGGGAACUGCAUUCGAAACUGGCAGGCUAGAGUCUUGUAGAGGGGGGUAGAAUUCCAGGUGUAGCGGUGAAAUGCGUAGAGAUCUGGAGGAAUACCGGUGGCGAAGGCGGCCCCCUGGACAAAGACUGACGCUCAGGUGCGAAAGCGUGGGGAGCAAACAGGAUUAGAUACCCUGGUAGUCCACGCCGUAAACGAUGUCGAUUUGGAGGUUGUGCCCUUGAGGCGUGGCUUCCGGAGCUAACGCGUUAAAUCGACCGCCUGGGGAGUACGGCCGCAAGGUUAAAACUCAAAUGAAUUGACGGGGGCCCGCACAAGCGGUGGAGCAUGUGGUUUAAUUCGAUGCAACGCGAAGAACCUUACCUGGUCUUGACAUCCACAGAACUUUCCAGAGAUGGAUUGGUGCCUUCGGGAACUGUGAGACAGGUGCUGCAUGGCUGUCGUCAGCUCGUGUUGUGAAAUGUUGGGUUAAGUCCCGCAACGAGCGCAACCCUUAUCCUUUGUUGCCAGCGGUCCGGCCGGGAACUCAAAGGAGACUGCCAGUGAUAAACUGGAGGAAGGUGGGGAUGACGUCAAGUCAUCAUGGCCCUUACGACCAGGGCUACACACGUGCUACAAUGGCAUAUACAAAGAGAAGCGACCUCGCGAGAGCAAGCGGACCUCAUAAAGUAUGUCGUAGUCCGGAUUGGAGUCUGCAACUCGACUCCAUGAAGUCGGAAUCGCUAGUAAUCGUAGAUCAGAAUGCUACGGUGAAUACGUUCCCGGGCCUUGUACACACCGCCCGUCACACCAUGGGAGUGGGUUGCAAAAGAAGUAGGUAGCUUAACCUUCGGGAGGGCGCUUACCACUUUGUGAUUCAUGACUGGGGUGAAGUCGUAACA
rnacentral:rRNA from 1 species